GAGCCAUAUUCCCAUAGUUCCAUUUCUGAAUUCUGGAAUACGGCUCCAUAGAAACAGGAAGAGGAAUACAGAUUUACAUCAUUGAAGGCUCCUGAGUUAUGAAUAUCAGCAUCCUUUGCCAUCUCCCUUGACAACAUGGUAUUGGCCUCAGACAACAUGGUGACUCUGAAAAUCCAAGUUUUCAUUCAAUCAGACUCACGAUAAAGGGGCUGGUGAGAAGACUUCACCUUGAUGUGAUGUGGCAGCGAAGGUGGCAGGCCUGCCAUGCUGUCGAUGCAGAGAAGCUGCGGCCCAGCUGACAGGAGGGUUGAGCUGAGCAGCCUCACUGUUCCCCCGGGACCUGGACCGAGCUCAGAGCCAGGGGAAGUGGGGAUUAACACAAUGUGGUGUCCGAACUAAUGAGUUAGCAAAACAGAGACAGAUGGCAAUUGAGUAACUUAACUCGCCCAUCUCUGUUUGCAAUGCACUUCCAUAAGCUUCUCCUCUGUCCGCGUGCAGUGUAACUCUGCCCAGCUCUUUCUGUUCAUCCCAGAAGAUCAUGACCACAGAGUAAUCAUCCUACAUAAAAGAAGCUAUAACACUACUUUCUAAACACAACUGUCACUCAAAAUGGGGGUAUGCUGGUGGGGAGGAGGUCUUUCAGAUACCAUUGGUGAGAUACCUCUGGUUCUGGAGAAAAAGCAGUUAUUUUAAAGGAAUUCUUGUUAUUUUAUAUUUAAGAUAUAAUUCAUAUAACGAUUGCUUAAAAUAUAGACAGCUGUGUAUGGGAAUGCUAAAAAGGGGUAUAACUUGCAACCUGGAAAUGAAAACAAGAAAAAGGAACCUUAAUUCUGAUCCCAAGACAAGUUUCCUUCAGUCAGAUCUUCAGGAUUGUGCAACAGUUUCCUUCACAGGCAGUAGAGAGAGGUGCUGCUACCAGAGGGUGUGAUAAAUGACGUGAGUGGACACUUAGACCAGACACGCCAGCCUUGCCACUUUGGGAGGCAAAUGGCUGCUUCACAAAUUAUCUACUGCCCUGUGCCUCUCAUAAGGUUUUUUCCUGGCUUCUUUUCCAACGGUCAUUGCUUCCAGGUGGCAUUACUGUGCCAGCUAGCAACGAAGCCAGCCAGGAACAUAGGCAUUUGGGGAAAUCCUGCUUUGUACUUUUGAAUGUUGGUUCAUGUUUAUAACAAUCUCUGUAAUAAUAAAGUUCCAACCACGUAAACAACAAGAUUUUCCAGAAGAAAAGAAGGUUUAAAAAAUCCCUGAUUUAUGCAUUUUGUUAAAAGGUUUACUUUUCCCCUGAUUUUUUCUUAUUAUUUCAUUCUGAGGUCUAAGAAAAAAAUUAAAAUAAACUUCAUUGAUGCAAAUGGAUUUCACUUUCACAAAAUGAAAAGCUGAUUUGAGAAGAAACUUCAGUGGUUACUGAAUUACUCAAAAGAACAAAGAGAACAUGUACCUUGACAAAGAAGCCUGUCCUUGGGAUUGACACAGAGUAAAACGUGAUCAGACUCCACAGCUUAGUAGCUGGCAGCAUCAGCUUCGGACUCAAUGAUGCCUGGGGAAAUACUGAUAUUCCACCCUGAUUCUAACUCUGAUAAUGCAGGACAACAGAAUGCACAGGUGAAAAAGGCCCUGAAUACUGAGUGCUGAGAGCAACACUUGGAGAAAACCACAUAUGACAUUCUUGGAAGUAGAAAUUCAUUAUUUUUUUUUUCACUUGCUGCUAUUGGGAAUGAACACACUUUCCAACUCUAAGGGUUAGCUGACUUUCAUGGGAAGUAACUAGUCACAACCUCCUUGUUAAAAGAAGAGGAUAUCCUGAAGACAUGAAACUGGUAAGUGAUCAGCAUCUACUUCAGUUACGCUUCCGCCAGCAUGUACAUCUGUGUUAUAUACCACGUGGUUUCUCAACUUCAGCACCCUGCCACUUUGGGCUGGAUAAGUCUUGGUUAGAGGGACUGUCCUGUCCAUUGUAGGAUGCUUAGCAUUGCCCUGGAGAGACACCAGUAGCAUCCCCCUACAUCUGUGACAACCAAAAUGACUUCAGACACUGUCAAAACUCCUCUGGGAGCAAUACUGCCCUGGGUUGAGAACAACCGGUACACUGGUACACACAGUAAUUCUGAGAAAGCUUCAGUGAGGGAUGUUACAAUCUUCUGUUUGAUACUUUUUAAAGUUAUAUAAUUAGCUUAUAUAUUUUUAUGUUGUUUAAUGAGAAUCCAACUGACACAUAUCCGAAGAGAUUAAAAAUACUGAAAGGAAAUUUGCACCAAAUUACAAGAGGCAUUGAUACCUUCUAAUGGGAGGAAAUUUAUGAGUAAAUUAAGAAUUAAUUAAUUUUUCCAGUUGUGGUUUCUUAUGCAGAAAGAGGAAUCAAGAUAAGCUAAAUAAAUACAAUGAACAUAAACAAGGCCAUGUGUUAUCAGGAAGUAUGGUGGUUUGAGUCUAAAGGGGGCUACACGCAGCUGGGCCAAAGAAAAAGCCGUGUAAUACUAUGCUAGUGAUUUAUCAAAGAGGUUUUUUUUUCACUUGUCUCUAAGAGUUCUAUCAGCUUUAACCAUGCCUACCUUCAUAUCCCAGGAAACUAUCAACAUACCAUCAGUAGGAUAUGUUUUUAAAGUGAUUUUUAGAGUAGCCAAGAUAUAUUUGUGCUGGUCCAACCAGUGAAAUGGUUGAUCUGAGUUAAAACCAGGUAAGGGAAUACCACCUCCAAGUCUUAACUUCAUUAGCAUUGGUGAGCAAGUCGACUAUAUUGAGUAGAAUUUUUAAGAGUAUUAAGUUCUAAGUCUUUGUGGGAGGGUUCUGUCUUUUCAUCUAGACUUAGCUGAGUACCUGACAUAGUGUCAUCUGUAAUAACUGUUAUUUGAAUGAAUGAACAAAUAAAUAAUUUGUAUUUGCAGUAGAUAAAGAAUAUCUGGAGUAGGGCCCUAACUUUUUAGGUUAAGAAUUAGAAAGUCGACUCUGUCCUCUCACAGAAUAUCUUAUGGUGCUGAUGUCAAAGAUCAGUGAUUGAGUGAGAUCAGUGAUUCUCAUCCAGAGACAACUCUUCCUUUCUCUCCCCUCCCCCGGCCCCAGGGUAUGUGUUAAUGUGUGGAGACAUUUUUGGUUGUCACAAAUGGAGAGAAGCCUUUGGCAUCUACCCAGUUGGAAGAGGUAGGAACGCUACUAAGUGUACUAUAAUGCACAGGAUAGCUCUCCACAAUCAAGAAUGAUCCAAAAUGCCAAUGGUGCCCAGGUUGAGAAAUGUCAGCCUAGAUAAACCAACCGACCAGAGCUAAAUAGACUUUGUCUCAGAAUAUGUUUUCUGCCAGUCCCUGUUCUUGUGCUUCCUAAGUCCUUUCUCUAUAUAUCCAUCCCCCUCGAGCCUCCUAAUCCCAAAUCUUACUUUAUAUGUAUUUUGCAUCCACUGGCCAUUACACCUGUAAGCAAAGAUGGAGUAAUACAAACAGUGGACAGAGUUCCAUGCAGGGGAGGUCUGGAGUGGACAGAAACAGAGCAAAAGGUGUUUCCUCCUAAAUAAUAGUGACUGCAAGGGGUUUGGGGUGGAAACGCAACCAAUGAUUUUCAUUUUAAGCCAAUCCACUUACUGUGGCACUGUUACUGACAAAAAGGAAGAAGUAGUGUUAGAACAUAAUUAUAAAGAAACUCUAUGGUUUUUUAACAGAAACGCACCAUGAUCAAUUUAAGGGAAUUAGGAAAUAGACCAAUACUGCUUUAAGUGAAGCUCACAUAAGUAAAUUCUUCUAAGAAAUAGGUAAAAAUAUAUUUCCCAGGAAAGACUCUCUGGCAAAGUAGAAAGACUGGAAAUCUGGUGAGUCAGAUUCUAACUAGCUAACUAGCUAUGUAACUCUGUAAAGUCAUUUACGGUCAUUAGGACUUGGUUUCCUAAUCCAAAAUAAGAGAUCAUUUCCAGAAGCUAAAUUUGACAAUUGACAGGAUAAAGAAAACAGGAUAUAUGGGGAAAUGGGAAAGAAUGAUGGAUUUGGAAUAAAUGUGAACAUGAUUUCAUGGCUAAGACUGAUGGCUCUAUAUUCUGCUCUUUUAAUUUAGAAACCUAUCAAUAGAUGCCAAUUAAACUGUGCUCACCCUUCUGAUUGAUCUAACUUAAAAUAUUUUAAGUGCCCACCUCAUCUAUUUUUACAGGACUGAAGUCAUCACUCUUUUAAACUGAAGGUUGCCUUAUGUGGCUGUACACAAAUCACAGCCUUGAUGAACAGGGAAUUGUAU